ACGCAAACGCUUCCGAGCCGGAAGUAUAGAGCGUUGCGUCCCAUCCUGUUGAAGGACAUCUAAGGAGACGCUCUCCAGGCUUUCUACCUGGCUGUGGAGUUGGGUCAUUGAAUGGUUUGACCUUUUCUGAGUCAGGAUGUAAGGCUGGUUAGUUUUAUUGACCUGUUCAUUAGCUAUUGUUGAGGACUCAACAAGAAAGAUGAAAACACUUGAAGAGCGUCAUUCUGUUCUUCUUUGACACCAGAGUCCACCUGCAAUGAUCCAGGAGCCCGUGACUGUUUCUGGGAAGGAGGCAGCAACACUGGCAGAGAGCAGAGCUUGAAAGUCAGAUGAUGUAACCAAAGUGCCACGAGAGGGCUUAUACUCUUAAAGUCCUGGGUCGGCGGCAAUGAUCUCCAGGUGGAUCAGCUCCCCAGGUCUAGUCCAGGAGUUGGAGAAGCUGAAGGAGGAGAUCCAGCAGGAGCUGAGGAGGCAUGGGGCUAUACUUACUGGGUCAGGAUUCCCUGGAAGAAUGUGAAGCUGAAGGAGAAGGUGGACUGAUCAUGGGACCACCUGCUUCUCCAUGCCAGUAUGAUGGGGCAGCAGGUUGAUGUGCAUAAACUGCAAUAGUGCCUGGUACCCCAUGCCUAUCUUCUGAACAUAAGGAAAGUCUAUUUUCCAAAUGCCGUUUAACUAUCAUUUCAGGUUUACUCAGAGCCAUGCAGUAAAGGAAAUUCUGGGAAAUGUAGUUACAGCUGAGCUAAGUUGACAUAGCAUAAAUUCGUCCAUACUCAACCAAUUGUAUUCCUGCCAAGUAAGUAUUUUUUAAAGUUGUUUUAAAUUUUAAAAUUUUUUAAAGUUGUUUUAAAUUUUAAAUUUAAAGUUGAUUUAAAAAAAACCCAGCACCAUUCUGCAUGUAGCCAUUUAGGGCUUGCUUUUUAAACUCAGCAUUGUUUUUUAGGAUUUAUUCAUACUGAUGUGUGUAGCUAUGACUCAUUCCUGUUGACUGCUCUAUUAUAUUCCACUGUGUGACGAUACCAUGGUUUACUCAUCCACUCUGUUGUUGAUGGGCAUCUGGCUUAUUUCCAGAUGUUUUAACUAGCUUGGGCUACUAUAACAAAAUUGCUGCUAUAAUCUUUGACUGAGGGGUUUAAACAAUAGACAUGUAUUAUUCACAGUUCUAGAAACUGAGAAGUCCAAGAUCAAGCUGUGGCCAGUUCAGCUCCUGGUAGAUCCUGCCUCCUGGGUGCAGACAGCUGCCUUCUCGCCUUAUCUUCACACAGCAGAGAAGAGAGCUCUGAUCCCUCUUCUUGUAAGAACAGUAAUCCCAUCAUGGGGGCCCCACCCUCACGACCUCAUCUAAAAAGUUCCUUCCAAAUACAUUGGGGGUUAGGUCUUCAACAUAAGAAUUUUGCAUGGACAUAAGCAUUUGGUCAAUAACACUACAGUUUGCUAUUGGAAACAGUGUUUGUAUGAACAUUCUCACAGAUGUCUCCAGGUACGUAGGGGUAAAACUCUCAUAACUUUACACUAGGAGUAGAAUUUUUGGACCUGAGGUAGAGCAACCUGAAUCCUAAUUUUCCCAGGACAAUAUCAGUUAUGCCUGCUGCCCAGGAAUGAUUAUUAAAUAUUGCCCCAUCUUUCCCCAUUUAUAGCUUGCUUUCAUCCUCUUUUGACAAAUGGAAGUUCUUAAUUUUAGUAUGGCUGAAUUUGUAAAAAAAUUUUAAAUUGUUAGUAUUUUUUGAGUAUUGUUAAGGAAAUCCUGCUCUAUCUCAAAGUCUAAAAGAUAUUUACCUAUGAUUUUUGUUAAGAGUUUUAAUUUUUUUAUAGCUAAGCCUCAAUCCAUCUGGAAUCAAUUUUACUAUAUGAUGUGUAAUAGGGAUUUAAUUUUGCGUAUGAUGACCUUUUUUUUUAUCCCACUCUUAUUUUCUCAUUAUUCUGGCAGGCCACUUCUGUCGUAUGCCGAAGCUUCACAUAUGGGUGGAUCUCUAUCUGAGCUUUGUGUUUGAUUCCACACUCUGUCUGUUCCAGUGCCAGUAGCAACUUGUCUUAAUUACUGUAUUUUCAUCAAAAAAGUGUGAUAUCUAGUGGGGCAAUUCUUGCCUCUGUGCUAAUCUUUUUUUAUAAAAGUCUUGGUUUCCCCCCCCUUUACUCUUUUAUUUAAAUUUUAUAAUCAACUUAUCAAGUUCUAUAGGAAUACAUGUUAAAAUUUUCUUUGGAACUUUAUCAAACUGGGGAGAUGGACAGCAUUAUACUAUUGCCUUCAUAUUCACAAUGUGAUAUCUCCUAUAUUUUAUUUGGGUCUUAUUACAGGCUACUCAUAAUAAAGUUUUAUAUUUCUCUUUGUAGAAUUACACAUAUUUUUAGGUUUAUUUCUAGGUUCUUGGUGCCCUUUGAAACUAUUGUGAAUUUUGCCUUUUCUUUAAUUACAUUUUCUGUUUAUUCAAAGAGUGUAGAAAUGUAAUUGACUUUUGGAAACUUGCUUAUUAUAUCUAAUAAUUUGCUCAUAGAUCUAUUUGCUCUCUUGUACAAACAGUUAUAUCAUCUGAAAAUAAUGACAGUUCUAUUCCUUUCCUUUCCAUUCCCUCUCUCAUUUUCUUCUCUUAUUGUGCUGGCUGAACAUGGUGAACAGAAAUAGUAAGGCUCUGGACUAGAUUGUCUCAUUUCUUAUUUUACAGUGAAUUAUUCUAAUCUUUUUCCACUUAGGAUGAUCUUUCAAAGUUAUUAUUUUGUAGUUACUCUCAGCAGACUAAGGAAUUUUUCUUUAUUCCUAAUUUGCUAAGCAGUUUUUACAAAAUUUUUAACAGUAAAGUAUAUAUAACAUAAAAUUGGCCAUUUUAACUAUUUUAAGGGUACGAUUCAGUUACCUUAAUUCUGUUCACACUGUUGUGCAAUCAUUACAACUAUGCUUUUCCAAAAUUUUUUCAUCACCCACAAAAGAAACUGUAAUCAUGAAGCAAUAACACCCCGUCCCCUUUGCCCCCAGGCCCUGGAUACUUCUAAUCUACUUUGUCUCUAUACAUUUGUUAUUCUAGAUGUUUCAUACAGGUGGAAUCACAUAAUAUUUGUUCUUUUGUAUGUAGAUCUUUUCACUUAUAUAAUGUCUUCAAGAUUUAUCCAUGUUGCAGUAUAUAGCAGAAUUUCAUUCCGUUUACAGAUGAGUAAUAUUCGUUGAAUGUGAACACGCCUGUUGUUAAUUCAUGCAUCUGUUGGUGGACCCCUGUGUGGUUUUCACCUUUUGCCUAUUGUGAAUCUUUAACCCUAUUAAAAGCAAAGGUUUCUUUUAAACCAUGAACUUAUAUUGAAUUUUAUAAGUGCCUGUUUGCAUCUACUGAAAUGAUUAUGUGUAUAUAUUCUUUUCUACACUGGUGGAUGACAUUUUAAACUGGGUGGAGCCUCAAAUAUUUUACUUCCUAUGCACCUUUUCUCGGGAUGCUACUGGAGCAUAUGCUCCAGGAAACUGAGGGUGUAAACCAGGAGACAGGAAGACACGGGAGACAGGAAACAGAAGAUUCAACAAAGGAGAGAGGAUAAGGG